rnacentral:tRNA from 1 species
AAUUUUAUAGUUUAAUUAAAACUUUUCAUUUUCAUUGAAAGAAUAUAAAAUUUAAUUUUUAUUAAAAUUA